GACGAACGCUGGCGGCAUGCCUAAUACAUGCAAGUCGAGCGAACAGAUGAGGAGCUUGCUCCUCUGAUGUUAGCGGCGGAUGGGUGAGUAACACGUGGGCAACCUGCCCUGCAGAUGGGGAUAACUCCGGGAAACCGGGGCUAAUACCGAAUAAUCAGUUCUUCCGCAUGGAAGAACUCUGAAAGACGGUUUCGGCUGUCACUGCAGGAUGGGCCCGCGGCGCAUUAGCUAGUUGGUGGGAUAACGGCCUACCAAGGCGACGAUGCGUAGCCGACCUGAGAGGGUGAUCGGCCACACUGGGACUGAGACACGGCCCAGACUCCUACGGGAGGCAGCAGUAGGGAAUCUUCCACAAUGGACGAAAGUCUGAUGGAGCAAUGCCGCGUGAGUGAAGAAGGUUUUCGGAUCGUAAAACUCUGUUGUGAGGGAAGAACAAGUACGGGAGUAACUGUCCGUACCUUGACGGUACCUCAUUAGAAAGCCACGGCUAACUACGUGC
rnacentral:rRNA from 1 species